GAUGAACGCUGGCGGCGUGCCUAAUACAUGCAAGUCGAGCGAACGGACGAGAAGCUUGCUUCUCUGAUGUUAGCGGCGGACGGGUGAGUAACACGUGGAUAACCUACCUAUAAGACUGGGAUAACUUCGGGAAACCGGAGCUAAUACCGGAUGAUAUUUUGAACCGCAUGGUUCAAAAGUGAAAGACGGUCUUGCUGUCACUUAUAGAUGGAUCCGCGCUGCAUUAGCUAGUUGGUAAGGUAACGGCUUACCAAGGCAACGAUGCAUAGCCGACCUGAGAGGGUGAUCGGCCACACUGGAACUGAGACCCGGUCCAGACUCCUACGGGAGGCAGCAGUAGGGAAUCUUCCGCAAGGGGCGAAAGCCUGACGGAGCAACGCCGCGUGAGUGAUGAAGGUCUUCGGAUCGUAAAACUCUGUUAUUAGGGAAGAACAUAUGUGUAAGUAACUGUGCACAUCUUGACGGUACCUAAUCAGAAAGCCACGGCUAACUACGUG
rnacentral:rRNA from 1 species